CAUUCCAGUCACGGUCAGGAGGCAGCAUCCCACCUUCCCCUACCCAUCCAUGCUUCGUGGGGCAAAGAAGAGGAAAACAAAAUUCAGACACCAGCCUUCCUGACUGACAGACGAGGAAACCGAGAUGCUGCGAGAUGAUGGCCUAGAUCGGACAGGACCCUUCCUGUACACCUACGAGCCAGGGCACAUCCUGACAAGAUUAGUGCCCUCGGUAGGUCGAAGCAGGGGCCGAAAACUCAGAUGCUCACAAAACCAGGUGGG